UGGGGAAUUUUGGACAAUGGGGGAAACCCUGAUCCAGCCAUGCCGCGUGUGCGAUGAAGGCCUUCGGGUUGUAAAGCACUUUUGGCAGGAAAGAAACGUCAUGGGUUAAUACCCCGUGAAACUGACGGUACCUGCAGAAUAAGCACCGGCUAACUACGUGCCAGCAGCCGCGGUAAUACGAAGGGUGCAAGCGUUAAUCGGAAUUACUGGGCGUAAAGCGUGCGCAGGCGGUUCGGAAAGAAAGAUGUGAAAUCCCAGAGCUCAACUUUGGAACUGCAUUUUUAACUACCGGGCUAGAGUGUGUCAGAGGGAGGUGGAAUUCCGCGUGUAGCAGUGAAAUGCAUAGAUAUGCGGAGGAACACAGAUGGCGAAGGCAGCCUCCUGGGAUAACACUGACGCUCAUGCACGAAGGCGUGGGGAGCAAACAAG
rnacentral:rRNA from 1 species